AACGCUGGCGGCAGGCCUAAGACAUGCAAGUCGUACGCGAACGACCUUUCGGGGUUAAGUAGAGUGGCGAACGGGUUAGUAACGCGUGGGAACAUACACAGCACAGGGGGAUAACCAUUGGAAACGAUGGCUAAUACCGCAUACGCCCUAUUGGGGAAAGAUUUAUCGGUGUUGGAUUGGCCCGCGUUAGAUUAGCUAGUUGGUGGGGUAAUGGCUCACCAAGGCGACGAUUUAUAGCUGGUUUGAGAGGAUGAUCAGCAACACUGGAACUGAGACACGGUCCAGACUCCUACGGGAGGCAGCAGUCGGGAAUAUUGUGCAAUGGGGGCAACCCUGACACAGCCAUGCCGCGUGAGUGAAGAAGGCCUUAGGGUUGUAAAGCUCUUUCAGAUGUGAGGAUGAUGACGAUAGCAUCAGAAGAAGCUCCGGCUAACUUCGUGCCAGCAGCCGCGGUAAUACGAAGGGAGCUA
rnacentral:rRNA from 1 species